rnacentral:rRNA from 1 species
CCUACGGGAGGCAGCAGUGAGGAAUAUUGGUCAAUGGACGAGCGUCUGAACCAGCCAAGUCGCGUGAAGGAUGACUGCCCUAUGGGUUGUAAACUUCUUUUAUAAAGGAAUAAAACGAGGCACGUGUGCCUUUUUGCAUGUACUUUAUGAAUAAGGAUCGGCUAACUCCGUGCCAGCAGCCGCGGUAAUACGGAGGAUCCGAGCGUUAUCCGGAUUUGUUGGGUUUAAAGGGAGCGUAGAUGGGUUGUUAAGUCAGUUGUGAAAGUUUUCGGCUCAACCGUAAAAUUGCAAUUGAUACUGGCAGUCUUGAGUACAGUUGAGGUAGGCGGAAUGCGUGGUGUAGCGGUGAAAUGCUUAGAGAUCACGAAGAACCCCGAUUGCGAAGGCAGCUUACUAAACUGUGACUGACAUUGAUGCUCGAAAGUGUGGGUAUCAAACAGGAUUAGAUACCCGGGUAGUC